rnacentral:rRNA from 1 species
GACGAACGCUAGCGGCGUGCUUUACACAUGCAAGUCGAACGAGUGGCGGACGGGUGAGUAAUAUAUCGGAACGUUCCCAGUAGCGGGGGACAACUACUCGAAACAGCGGCUACCUCCGCACACUAUUGGCGCGGCCGAUGUCGGAUUUGCUAGUUGGGGGGGUAAAGGCUCACUAAGGCAACGAACCGUACCUGGUUUGAGAGGACGACCGGCCACACUGGGACUGAGACACGGCCCAGACUCCUACGGGAGGCAGCAGUGGGGAAUUGUGGACAAUGGGGGAAACCCUGAUCCAGCCAUGCCGCGUGUGUGAGAAGGCCUUCGGGUUGUAAAGUACUUUUGGCAGAGAAGCGGUAUCUGAACAGAAAGCCACGGCUAACUACGUGCCAGCAGCCGCGGUAAUUC